CAAGAUGCAUCUGAUUGCAGCGCGAAGAGUGAAUGAAGCGACUGCUAGAAUGGAAGCAGCGAAUGCUGCAAUCGCCGUUAACCCGGAAAGCAGAGGUGUCGAGCUAUUACAAGCAGGAGGUGCUGCUCGAGCUCGCUGCUCACGAGGUUUCUGUCGGUAGAAGAUCGUCACUCACGGCGAAGUAAGGACGGUCAUCAGCAACAUGUCUGCAGCAAGAGCACCGACGGCCGCCGGACUGUCGCCAACGUUUCGCGAUACAACAACUACUGCGACGACGAAGCUCGUAAUACGUGUUUUUGCCGUCGAGCGAUCGAGAACAAGAUAGCAACAAAUCCGUGAAGGAUCUGCUGGCGGAUUUAAAGAGGAAGUUUCGACAGAUUCAAAGACAAGAAUACCGUAGGCACCAGGAAAUGAAACACCGUGGAGUGUUCAGCGGCUCGGAGGCUUUGCUGUGCGAUAAGGGCAGCGAUCUGGAUCAGCGCGAGAAAAACGAAGACGCGCAGAACGAGAGGACUCUAAGAGGAGAUCGAUCAAGUUGUACCUGAGCCUAUCAACGACCAUAGAAUGUACACCGACACGACGAAGAAGAAGGAGGAUGUCUCCUUUAGAUGCACCGAGGAAUUCACCGGCGAUUCUAUCGGACAACCAAUCGCGAGACAAUUCGCACGGUCUUCAGAGAGGAUCUCAAAAUAAUCUGCUUACGGCUUCUCAUAGCAGAGACUCUAGUUACUCUGUGGCCUCUGGAACCGCUUCGAUCUCGACUUCUGUGGCUUGUCAGAGAGUUGCCAGCGCCCGGUCCUCCAUGCACUCUCCUAUGGGUUUGAUGUCCUUAGGAAAUCAGGGAAUUAGGGAAUUGUUUGGUCGGCAACAUGCUGCAAAACGCGAGUCCGGUCUACGGUUUCAAAGUCAUUCGAGGUAGGCCAGUCAGGAUUCCAGUCACUAUCAAACUUCGACGUCUACGGUUAAGGCAAAUAUCGCGCCUCGAUCGUAUCUGCUAGGUGAGCCACAUCUACAGAACGAGCAGUCAGGCGGUCCUUACUACUACUCCGAUCUCCUUGUCCUGUUUUUGCAAUCAGGUUUUCAGGACAGAAGUGUGACAGGAAGUGUAAACCUAAAAAAAAAUGUAAUAUUGCACGGCUAUGUCGUACCGUCGUGUAUCGGUACUUUUGCCUGGACCACCUCACAACCGAAUUCAUCGUUUAUAAUGGUAUAUAAUCACAUAUGUAAUACACAAAAAUUGGUACAAAAAAACACUAUUAAAGAAAUACUCCGAUCUCCAAGGUAGCGUAAACGCCGUAGACACCUUCGAGUCGAUGAAGUCGAUCGGUCAUUCUUCCAGAUUGCCUUAACUAAACAAUCAAAGAGACGACGCUUCCGUGUUAAACAAAAGGAACGAUAUAGGACGUAUCUUGAAUCCAAUUUCCAGGCAAAUGCCCAGACACGUUCAAGUGAAUGACUGGCCAAUUUUUGAGCGACUACAAAGUCGAUCUCGUGGACAAGAAGAACUUUUGCGAAGCCGAUACUCUGAGGAGUGUAAAAUCUACCGAUCCUCUGCCUGAUAUCUCGUCGGCAGAGAUUAGCACGAGGAAUCUGUAUCCGCAUGGCCUCUCGCGAUAAGUCGAACAAUCAGUCGAACAGCCGAAGCACGUUCGAGUUGGUGCUUGAAACGCAGACGUCCCAUCGAAGGUCUAGGCCUUUGGAGGGCUUUUGGGACGACGUCGGACUUCAAAAUCUGGCAGAACAGAGGAACAGAAACAACCGAGUAGCAACGGUUCCGCCUACUCAGGUUGCGGAAGAAGCGCCGCAGGACGUGUGUGACAUCGAUAGCGGUUCUACGUCGAACAGUUUCAACGUCGAUGACCCCUGGGAGCAGGACUCCUUAUGGAGAGAAAGUCUCUCUAUGUUUGCUUCGCGUAAUCCUUCGCACUUCGCAGCUGGGGGCAGACUGAAUCUCUUUUAUUCAAAAGCCACGCCGAUUCUUUUCUUUGUUGGCCAUCGAUAUCGUGCGCGUUUGUUAGAAGUCCGCGACGGUUGCCGCGUUGCGUUCUCCCGAAGAUUCGGCGAAAGAACCGUAGGGAUAUCGAUGGCACAUUAGGCUUGUCGGCAUAGCGCUUUA
rnacentral:lncRNA from 1 species